rnacentral:lncRNA from 1 species
AGCAAGCUUGAAGGUGAGCACCUCGAAGGGCUUCUUUUUAUGUUGAAAGGCACGGGUUUGCAUGGCGGUUCAUCAGAGGUCAAUACCCCAGUUUGAGAAAGUCCACUGUGGGGAGGAAAGAGAGACUUAAACAAGCCCUGGAAAAACAAAGAAUGGAACACCCCUCCGCUGACUUCAACCAACUGCCUGCUGAUGCGGCCUGACUCCCAGCCCUUUUUGCAGUUUUGAAGUGACAAACUGACUAGGCUACAAAGUAUUCAACCAUGGGCUGGUUCUGGCUGGUUCACCGAGGCUGUGUACAAAGUGUCUUCAUGUCCUGUGUUUCACCUUUUAACAUACAGAACCUAAUUUUACUGCAUUUUAAUGUUAAUUCUCCACUCGAAGGUGAACAUGGGAUGUAUGUAACACAUAUGUUUGCUUAUCAAGCACACAUAUGACCCCCUUUCAUGAAUAUUCAUAGUUCCCCCUGUGACCUGUUGAAUAUGUCUGUUUAGCCAACCUGUUUGGCAUAAAACUCCUAUCCCACCCUAUCUCCCUCAAAGUACCUGUUUGUGGUCUCAGCUGGAGGUGCCACUUCCCAGCCUGCAGUUUGCAACCCUUCUCAAGAAAUAAAGUCUUCCUUUCCAAG